rnacentral:miRNA from 1 species
AUUGGAACAGGAGUAGGC